rnacentral:rRNA from 1 species
UACGUAGGGCGCAAGCGUUGUCCGGAAUUAUUGGGCGUAAAGAGCUCGUAGGCGGCCUGUCGCGUCCGCUGUGAAAUCCCGGGGCUUAACCCCGGGCGUGCAGUGGAUACGGGCUGGCUGGAGGCAGGCAGGGGAGAACGGAAUUCCGGGUGUAGCGGUGGAAUGCGUAGAGAUCCGGAAGAACACCGGUGGCGAAGGCGGCCUGCUGGGCAGUUUUGCUGACACUGAGGCGCGACAGCGUGGGGAGCAAACAGG